rnacentral:rRNA from 1 species
AUACGUAGGGGGCGAGCGUUGUCCGGAAUGACUGGGCGUAAAGGGCGUGUAGGCGGCGCUGUAGGUCUGGAGUGAAAGUCCCGUUUUCAAGGCGGGAACUGCUUUGGAUACUGCAGAGCUUGAGUGCGGAAGAGGUAAGUGGAAUUCCCAGUGUAGCGGUGAAAUGCGUAGAGAUUGGGAGGAACACCAGUGGCGAAGGCGACUUACUGGGCCGUAACUGACGCUGAGGCGCGAAAGCGUGGGGAGCGAACAGGAUUAGAUACCCUGGUAGUCCACGCGGUAAACGAUGAAUGCUAGGUGUUGCGGGUAUCGACCCCUGCAGUGCCGGAGUAAACACAAUAAGCAUUCCGCCUGGGGAGUACGGCCGCAAGGUUGAAACUCAAAGGAAUUGACGGGG